rnacentral:rRNA from 1 species
GAUGAACGCUGGCGGCGUGCCUAAUACAUGCAAGUCGAACGCUGAAGCUUGGUGCUUGCACCGAGCGGAUGAGUUGCGAACGGGUGAGUAACGCGUAGGUAACCUGCCUCUUAGCGGGGGAUAACUAUUGGAAACGAUAGCUAAUACCGCAUAAAAGUCGAUAUCGCAUGAUAUUGAUUUGAAAGGUGCAAAUGCAUCACUAAGAGAUGGACCUGCGUUGUAUUAGCUAGUUGGUGAGGUAACGGCUCACCAAGGCGACGAUACAUAGCCGACCUGAGAGGGGGAUCGGCCAAACUGGGACUGAGACACGGCCCAGACUCCUACGGGAGGCAGCAGGAGGGAAUCUUCGGCAAUGGGGGCAACCCUGAACGAGCAACGCCGCGUGAGUGAAGAAGGGUUUCGGGUCGUAAAGCUCUGUUGUAAGAGAAGAAAGAGUGUGAGAGUGGAAAGUUCACACUGUGACGGUAACUUACCAGAAAGGGACGGCUAACUACGUG